rnacentral:rRNA from 1 species
UACGUAGGGUGCAAGCGUUGUCCGGAAUUAUUGGGCGUAAAGCGCACGUAGGCGGACUGGAAAGUUGGAGGUGAAAUCCCAGGGCUCAACCCUGGAACUGCCUUCAAAACUCCCAGUCUUGAGUUCGAGAGAGGUGAGUGGAAUUCCGAGUGUAGAGGUGAAAUUCGUAGAUAUUCGGAGGAACACCAGUGGCGAAGGCGGCUCACUGGCUCGAUACUGACGCUGAGGUGCGAAAGCGUGGGGAGCAAACAGG